rnacentral:rRNA from 1 species
CUGGUCUUGACAUCCCGGUGACGUAUGAGCAAAGUCAUAUUUCCUUCGGGACACCGGAGACAGGUGGUGCAUGGUUGUCGUCAGCUCGUGUCGUGAGAUGUUGGGUUAAGUCCCGCAACGAGCGCAACCCCUAUUUCCAGUAGCCAGCAUAUAAGAUGGGCACUCUGGAGAGACUGCCUGGGAUAACCAGGAGGAAGGCGGGGAUGACGUCAAAUCAUCAUGCCCCUUAUGAUCAGGGCUACACACGUGCUACAAUGGCGUAAACAAAGGGAAGCGAAGUGGUGACGCCAAGCAAAUCCCAAAAAUAACGUCCCAGUUCGGAUUGUAGUCUGCAACUCGACUACAUGAAGCUGGAAUCGCUAGUAAUCGCGAAUCAGAAUGUCGCGGUGAAUACGUUCCC